rnacentral:rRNA from 1 species
ACGCACGCUGGCGGCGUGCUUAACACAUGCCAGUCGAACGGAAAGGCCCUGCUUGCAGGGUACUCGAGUGGCGAACGGGUGAGUAACACGUGGGUGAUCUGCCCUGCACUUCGGGAUAAGCCUGGGAAACUGGGUCUAAUACCGGAUAGGAGCCAUUUUUAGUGUGAUGGUUGGAAAGUUUUUUCGGUGUAGGAUGAGCUCGCGGCCUAUCAGCUUGUUGGUGGGGUAAUGGCCUACCAAGGCGGCGACGGGUAGCCGGCCUGAGAGGGUGGACGGCCACAUUGGGACUGAGAUACGGCCCAGACUCCUACGGGAGGCAGCAGUGGGGAAUAUUGCACAAUGGGCGCAAGCCUGAUGCAGCGACGCCGCGUGGGGGAUGACGGCCUUCGGGUUGUAAACUCCUUUCGCUAGGGACGAAGCUUUUUGUGACGGUACCUAGAUAAGAAGCACCGGCUAACUACGUG